CCCGCCACCCAGCAGCUUGGCUAUUUUCUAAGUAAGGGUUUUAAGAAACACCAUUCUUGUCUUCUCAUCAGCAAGUGUCGUCUACUCAUUUGUUGUUUCACUUUGUUCUGUGGUUUUGAGACAGGGCCUCACUAUAUAACCUAGGAUGGUCUUGAACUCAUAUCAGUUCUCCUGCCUCAGCUUUCCAAGUGCGGGGAUCUAUCAUGAGUGACCAAGCCCAGCACACACUUGUGCUGACAGGUUUUUGUUUAGUUGGGUUUUGGUUUUGAGUUGCUAGGGAUCAGAACCAGGACCUUGGGCUGAGAACGGUGGCGUGCGCCUGUCAUCCCCGCUCUCAGCAGGCAGAGGCAGGUGGAUGGCCGUGAGCUCAGGCAAACCAAGGCUACACAGUGAGACCCUCGUCUGACUCUGCCACGGAGCUCUGUUCCCGAUGCAGUACGUUUGUUCCCUGGAGAGCUAGAGCUAGCAAAGUCCCCACCUGGUUCUGCGGGCACUCCCACUCCCCGGGUCAUUGUCGCAGGGAGCAUGGCUGUGUUCGCUAAAGCUGAUUUACAACCAGGCGCUAAGCCAGCGGUCCUCAGCCUGUGGGUCAUCACCCCUGUUGGGGUCGUAUAUCCAGUACUCUGAUAUGAGGUUUUUACAGUACGGUUCGUAUCAGCAGCAAACUCACAGUUAUGAAAUAGCAGCAAAUGAUUUUAUGGCUGGGGUCCCCACAACAUGAGGAGCUGUAUUAAGGGUCACGGCAUUGGGCAGGUUGAGGACCACUGUAAGUGCUGGUCCCCAGCUCCGAGAGCAGAGGAGUGCUGCCUGGAGUUCAGAACAUCGUGUCCUUGUCCGUGAUGCCACAGGAGCAGAUCGUGGGUCUCAGCUGUGAGAGUCUUGCUGAGAUCCCUUUAUUUAUCCAGCUCUUGGCCGUGGAGUUGAUUGGACUCUGGGAUACAACUGUGUGAUAACGAAUGUGUGUUUGUAGUCAUUUGUGCUUUUUUUCUGAAAAAAAAUUAAAGCUGGGUUUGUGGACCAUUAGGAUGGACUGGAAACACUCCUGUGCUGCUGGGAUGGGGGCUUGUCUGAGGGGGUUCCCCUGUGGUCACAGGUUCUUGCCUACAGGGGCUGCAGCUCUUCCUCUUACUGCGCUGUUGGGGAUGAUAGCCACUAAUUCUCAGGAUUUCUUCUUGUCAGAGGAGUGUGUGUGUGUGUGUGUGUGUGUGUGUGUGUGUGUGUGUGUGUGUGUGUUCCUGGAACCCUUUACUCUUUGGUUUUACAUCUAGAUACAGUAGAUGGUUUGAGGACUCACCAACUAUUCUGUGUUUACUUUUUCUGUAUUAAGCUCUGCAGUAGCUUUGAAACUGUAAUUUAUUUUUGUAUCAAGUGCACUAUAUCCAGUGACUUCUCAUUGUAUAUGGCUUGUAUUAGAACCACUACACUGAACUGUGAGUUGUCUGUACACUGAACAAGAACUCUAGACCUGACCCAUUCAAAUAAAACUUCUACGAGACCGUU